GGACCUGACUGCUAUCGGAUUGAUACUAAGCCAUGCGAGUCAUUGUAGCAAUACAAGGCAUACGGCUCAGUAACGCGUAGUCAACCUAACCUAUGGACGGGAAUAACCUCGGGAAACUGAGAAUAAUGCCCGAUAGAACAUUAUGCCUGGAAUGGUUUAUGUUCCAAAUGAUUUAUCGCCGUAGGAUGGGACUGCGGCCUACCAGUUUGUUGGUGAGGUAAUGGCCCACCAAGACUAUUACAGGUACGGGCUCUGAGAGGAGUAGCCCGGAGAUGGGUACUGAGACACGGACCCAGGCCCUAUGGGGCGCAGCAGGCGAGAAAACUUUGCAAUGUGCGAAAGCACGACAAGGUUAAUCCGAGUGGUUUCUGCUAAAGAAACCUUUUGUCAGUCCUAGAAACACUGAUGAAUAAGGGGUGGGCGAGUUCUGGUGU
rnacentral:rRNA from 1 species